rnacentral:rRNA from 1 species
CCUACGGGAGGCUGCAGUGGGGGAUAUUGCACAAUGGGGGGAACCCUGAUGCAGCGACGCUGCGUGGGUGAAGAAGCGCCUCGGCGCGUAAAGCCCUGUCAGCAGGGAAGAAAAUGACGGUACCUGAAGAAGAAGCCCCGGCUAACUACGUGCCAGAAGCCGAGGUAAUACGUAGGGGGCAAGCGUUAUCCGGAUUGACUGGGUGGAAAGGGGGCGCAGACGGCGAUGCAAGCCAGGAGUGAAAGCCCGGGGCCCAACCCCGGGACUGCUCUUGGAACUGCGUGGCUGGAGUGCAGGAGGGGCAGGCGGAAUUCCUGGUGUAGCGGUGAAAUGCGUAGAUAUCAGGAGGAACACCGGUGGCGAAGGCGGCCUGCUGGACUGCAACUGACGUUGAGGCCCGAAAGCGUGGGGAGCAAACAGGAUUAGAUACCCCGGUAGUC